CUAAAGAGAUAUACUUUUCAUAAAGUUUUACUGUCUGUCUAUCUCUAUUUAUAUAAAAUUCAACAGCAAAAUUUUCAGACCCAGAAACGAAAGUCGGAGCCUGAGAUCAUAGCCGAGAAAAUAAACAAAACCAAGGUUCAAUUUGAUGUCUUUUGUUUUCUUGGAGGAAUUCCAAAGCUAUAAAAAUGGAGGAUACAGAUUCCCAUUUGAGAAAAUGGGAGGAAAUCGAUAACGAUGUUCUGGUAAAGAUAUUCCAGUGUUUUGACAUCUUUGGGUUGACCUCGUGGCGUUUGGCAGCUUGUGAUCCAUUCAUCUGGAAGACGCUGAUUCAUCAAUGCUAAAAUCGAACUUCAUUAAAACCCCAUCAGAACCCUAUGUAUAUGUUGGUGGUCCGUCUGCUACAACACUAACCCGAGUCUUGAAGAUUGCAUAAAGUCUCAGACAUGGAAACAUAACAACCUUGAUUUUCCAUUAUAACCUAUUUGUUAGCGAUGACCAAUUGACUUAUACAGCAGAGAGGUAUGUCCAGAGGAUUACUGUCUUUUGAUGUACUGAAUCUCAUCUUAGUAGUUAUGUGUACACUUCUAUAGAAUUAGAUGUUGGAAUAAUUAAUAAUUGCAUAUGUGGCUUCACAUUCGAUUGCAAAAUUUUACAUGUUAGAUAUAUGGCUCAUAAUGAUAUUUGUGUUUAGAUCAAAUUUAUUUGGUGAUCAA